UAAAGGAGUCCUCGGAAUUCUCCUUUGUCCAUUCUGCCUCUGAGUGAGGGCAGGAUAUCAGAAGAAGGGUGGUUAUGAACUACUAGAGCUUUGUGGACUGACAGGAGGCUAAUCCGAAGAGAUAGAAAAUAGUAGCAAGGAGACAGGGGCUCCUCAGAGUAAAUGAGGUAUCAGAGCAGGCACUGAAAGUACAUGGCAUUUGUAUAAUCAUGCCCUCAUCUUCCUGAAUAGCAAAUCUUGAAGUAAAUGGUUACUAUGUACUAUAUUUUCUGCAACAUGGUCUGCUACCUCUCCGAAGACUCAAGCAAUGGGGAUGACCAAUCCUGGACUGGAAUUUCUAAAACAAACCCUUCUUCUUUGGAAGCCAAGUGCCUCAGACAUCUUGUCACAGCAACAGAAAUGUGACCAAUAGACAGCUAUCUUUCAAUCAUUCUCUAAGGAUGGGGUGGCAAAUUUGGCUUGGUUGAUGGGAUGAUGGCUCAGAUUCAGUCACACAUUCUCCAAAGUUCCAACAUCAGUGACCAGAAACUUGAGGUCAGCAUGAAAUGACAGCAGGAUUUAUCCAGCAAGAGCAAGCAAGGAGAAGACACACACCAAGGGUUCAUUUUUGACGAUGGACACAUGGAGGUGCCAAACACAGUUGUGAGGAGGGCGACUGUUGAGAGAGGGCCGGGCCAAAGCUUCUAGGGAGUCCCACUGCCAGCAGGAGCAGAGAAAUGUGGCUGAGCCUCACAGGGAAAAUUACUUUUGUUUUGUUUUGCUUCAAUUGGGACCAACAUUUUCAGGCUUCUGUGCAAGCCAAGAAUGAGCAUGGUGACUAAUGAGACUGGCAGCCAGGGUGACACCAGGCAGGGAGGCCUCAGUAAGACAUUCAAGGCAAUUGAGUUUUGAUUAGAGCAGCGGGGGACUGUUGAGAGUUUAAGCAGAGCAGUUUUGCAAGAGAAAAAUUAUAUUUUGAAGACAACUUCCUGCCUGCAAAGAACACAAUGGAUUGAAAAAGAGCUGAAACCAUUGCAGGUGAAAUCCGUAACAUGCCUAGGAAUGUGAUAGGCAUUUUAUACAUUAGUUCCUCCAUCUUUACCAUGAGCUCUCAAGGUGGGUGAUCUCCUGAGACUCAAUGUACAAGUCAGGGUCUGGAGACUCCAGGUGCUUCAGGGACUUACUCAAAGAUACCACAGUGCUGGGACCUCAGAGACAGAGUCAGGGCUAACAUCCAGGCUGUUAGAGCCAGGCCUCUGAACACAUGUGCUCCUGGCCAUAUCUUUAUGUGCUUGUUAGAUUGAAGAGGUUUGUAGACAUUGCCUAGUUCAGACCCAGAGGGAAACAGAAUUUGAAGCAUUAAGGAGAAAUAUCUUGUAGAUGGAGUCAUAGUUUAGUGCGCUGGGGGGAUGUUGCUAUUUAAAGUCCAAUUCAGUAAUCCUUUGUAAAGUCAAAAAUCCUUCUGUAAAGCAAAUAGUUCACUCUCCCAUUUAGCAGGGGAGAACAUUGUUCUCCAAACAUCAAGCAAAUCCAUAAAACUGAAAGACAUCCAAUGAUGUUCUUAUUGUUAAAUGAGUGGAGAUAUGGCGAAGUUGUUUCGAAAGAAAUGGGAUCAAGAGACCAGCCUUGGUAUGGACUAGAUGCUAUACUUUAAAUUUUUCCAGUAUGUCAGUUAAAAAGGCGUGUUAGCCUUCAUUUUAAGAAUCUGUGCUGAACAGAAUAUUAAUUUCUUCAUUGUAUAUUUUGCCACCUAAGAAUAUUUUUAUCCCAAUUGAAGCAAGGGCUCUAGGGGGACUGUAAAUUUCAAGACCUCACCUGCACAGGUUUUCCCACACUGGGUAUAUUUGUCUAGUCAAUCAGAGCUAUGUAACCUUGUACUUCGAUGCCUUCCUUUAUGGUUUGUGUGUUAGAGAAUAAAGUAAAGCUAAGAUUCAAACAACAUGAAUUCAUAAGGAAAGAGUCUAUAUAUAACUCAAACCAGAGAAGCACCAUAUAAAGUAAACAAAGAGAAGUAGGCUAGUAUCCAAUGAUUUGUAUAUGCUUGGCCCAGGGAGUGGCACUAAUAGGAGGUGUGGCCUCUUUAAGUAGGUGUGUCACUAAAGGCAUGGACUUUUGUCCUAGCUGCCUUCAGAUGAAGAGGUAGAGCUCUGAGCUCCUCCUGCACCAUGCCUGCCCAGAUGCUGCCAUGCUCUCACAUUGAUGAUAAUGGACUGAACCUCUGAACCUGUAAGCCAGCCCCAAUGAAGUGUUGUCCUUGUAAGAGUUGCCUUGGUCAUGGUAUCUGUUCACAGCAAUCAAACCCUACCUAGGACACCAAGUUCUAUUUCUGUUGCUGCAAUAAAAUAUCCUGACAAAAGCAAAUUAUAGAAGCUGUUUAUUUCCUCUUACAAUUCCAGGUUACAUUUCAUCAUUGUGGGGAAGUCAAGGUAAGAAUUUAAAAUAGCUAGUCAUAUCAUGGCUGUAGAUAAGAACAAAGUGAAAUUGAUGUGUACAUGCUUGCUUGCUUGCUUGGGCUCAGCUCAAUCUCUUCACUCACAUAUAGUUUAGGCCUCAGAGCAGGUGCUGCCCACAGUAGACUGACCUUUUCAACAUCAAUUUAAUUAAGACAAUCUCCCACAGACAUAUCCAUAGACAAUCUCUUAUUGAUACCCUCUUCCCAGGUUAUUGUAGGUUGUGCCAAGUUGACAAUUAAAUCUAAACACAACAGCUAACCAUAUCCAACUUCUGCACGAUCAUCCCCUUUGAACUAGCUGGAUUCAUUAAGCAACAUAUUUUUUCUCUUCUGUAUACUUCAGGUCUCACUUCUAAAAGGUGAGUAAUACUACCUGCUCCUCCUCAGUGUAGCAGAGACGACUCUUGAAUCAGUUAGAUAUUGUGGCAUAACAAAUGACACAGAACCACUGCCCAUUAAAAUGAUUCUGUUGCUAGACAGUCCUGAUAGGGGGCGGUAUUCUUCUAGUCUCAGCUCUAUUCCUACUCUGUAUCUGUUCUCAGUUUCUGAGAUAGUCCUUCUCACCUGUAUGUAUGUCAUACACCAGCAACCAAUCACAUCCUUUCCUCUGAAUACCCACUACCCAUGUUAUUGGUCUAAUAUAAGAUGUUUAAAAGAAUAGUAGCUAAAAAAAACCCUUGAUUUUAUUUUGGAUCUAUUAUUGAAAUCUAGAUAUAUUUUAUUUCUGAAAAUAUAGUUUGCAUCCAAAAUAUUCCACAGUAUACCAUGUAUGUCAUUAGCAAAGAGUUUCAAAAGCAAAUGCCUGUAAUCCCUCCUGUUGGAAGCAGUAUUUCACAUCCCCAGCCAGACCCUGAAAUUUUCAAGCUUUAAUAAUCUGGUUUAACAACCCCUUAUUUGUUAUUGAGUUCUUCUUCGCUGGCUCUCAUUUUGUAAUUACUUGUAUUUCUUUUUGGAUGGUUCACCCUUUAAUUACUUUAUAUUUAAGGAGGAAAACAAUCGAGAUCAUUCAAUUCUUCUCAUGAGACCACAAUAUUUAUCCUUUUCAGGAAUAAAUACAUUGUAGAUUUCCAUGCUUAUUAAUUUUUGAUUGUAGAGAACAUCAAGUUAUGCAAGGUAUGCAGUGAAUACAUUUAAAUUCAUCACUUAAACAAAUUCCAUCAAGCCUAUUAAUGCCAAUUUGAUUAUUUCCAUUAUUAUAUCAGUAGAGAUAUUACCAGUGAUGGGUUUGUUCUGUUUCUAAAUCCAGCUGGAGAAUUAGCAUAAGCUUUUCCUUCUGUUAUUUCAAAGACAAAGAAUGUGAAAAGAAAUAAGGGUUUUAUUUUUUUUGUAGGGAGGUAGUAAGGGGAUUUAUGGGACAUUUGUGAUAUCCACAUGCUGAGGGCAGAUACCAGCAAUGUCAUUUCUAAUAGUAACCAGAAAGGAGCACUGCCUGAGUUCAGUCCUCUCCCCAUUAUUUUUAUCAAAUAGAAGUCAUUCACAACUGUGGUGAAAAAAAAUGUUUUCUGUUGUGUGUUUAAAAGCCUUCAUACAUCAUUCAUCAGGAGAAGAAACACAUUUGCUUUGACCCCGUUCACAUUGAAUAUCAAAGUUGGUAGCUAAACACCAAUUAAUCACAUUAGCCUAUGAAAUAUUCUUCAAAUACUGGGUAACAAAAGACUCCAAAGUUUAGUUUAAAAAGAAGAGCAAAGAUUUAUCAUCUCUGAUCAUGUGUCUGGGUUACAAGUACCUAGAACCUUGGCUGUGUCCUUCUGGCUCAGGCUAUCUUGCUAGACUUCUGUUAUUUGUCAGUGGGCUUGCAUUCAUGGAAAAGGCGGCUGUUAGAAGAUUAAGGUCUAAAUUAAGUUGCUCACACAACUGUUGCUGCUGGCUCUGAAGGACACUUAAGUUCUUCUCUAUAUAGCUGUCUCCAUGGGGCUACUCAAGUGUCCCCUUGAUAUAGUGACAGAGUGACAAUAUAGGAACAAAAAGCAGAGGCCAUACUUCCUUUUACUGCAUUACCUUGUUAGCAAAGUGUAGUUACUUCCAUUGUACCCUGGUUUUUAUGUACUUCAUCUCUGGUUUAAUAUAUGAAGACACAACAGGAUACAAAGAUAAAAAUUUCAGAGAUCACCUGAGGUUGUGUCAGGGGUUUCCUUCCUCUUAUGAUUACCGAGUGACAAUUGAAUACUGAAUAAAUCCUUCUGAAUCACUCACUGGAGACUGGAUACUUUAAUAAUGUAUCUGCUUGGUAUUGCGCAACCCCAUUAACAAACAGAAAGCUGGUUACUUAUAUCUUCAGACCCUGUGACUUACACUUGAGAUUUAUGCAGUGCUGUGUUAACUUUUUAUUACCUUCCCGAGAAGAGGACAGACCUUUUUUUUCCUGAUGUUUCUCUC